AGCUCCAAUAGCGUAUAUUAAAGUUGUUGCAGUUAAAAAGCUCGUAGUUGGAUUUGUGGUGUGUCCUGUCGGCCGGGUGGCUUAGCCUCCUGUGCUGUACGGGUCUGCCAUGUUUGGGUGGAUCCUGUGUGGCAUUAGGUUGUCGCGCAGGGGAUGCCCAUCGUUUACUGUGAAAAAAUUAGAGUGUUCAAAGCAGGCUUAUGCCGUUGAAUAUAUUAGCAUGGAAUAAUGAUAUAGGACCUUGGUACUAUUUUGUUGGUUUGCGCACUAAGGUAAUGAUUAAGAGGGACAGUUGGGGGUAUUUGUAUUCCAUUGUCAGAGGUGAAAUUCUUGGAUUUUUGGAAGACAAACUACUGCGAAAGCAUUUACCAAGGAUGUUUUCAUUA
rnacentral:rRNA from 1 species